CCUACGGGGGGCAGCAGUGGGGGAUAUUGCACAAUGGGGGAAACCCUGAUGCAGCGACGCCGCGUGUGGGAAGACGGUCCUCUGGAUUUUAAACCACUGUCCCCAGGGACGAAGAUGACGGUACCUUGGGAGGAAGCUCCGGCUAACUACGUGCCAGCAGCCGCGGUAAUACGUAGGGAGCGAGCGUUGUCCGGAAUUACUGGGGGUAAAGGGAGCGUAGGCGGGGAUGCAAGUUGGGUGUCAAAACUACCGGCUAAACUGGUAGUCGCACUUAAAACUGCAGCUCUUGAGUGAAGUAGAGGCAGGCGGAAUUCCAAGUGUAGCGGUGAAAUGCGUAGAUAUUAGGAGGAACACCAGUGGCGAAGGCGGCCUGCUGGGCUUUUACUGACGCUGAGGCUCGAAAGUGUAGGGAGCAAACAGGAUUAGAUACCCCUGUAGUC
rnacentral:rRNA from 1 species